CUUGAACGCUGGCGGCAGGCCUAACAAAUGCAAGUCGAACGAGUGGCGGACGGGUGAGUAAUGUCUGGUAAACUGCCUGAUGGAGGGGGCUAACUACUGGACACGGUAGCUAAUACCGCAUACCAUCGGAUGUGCCCAGAUGGGAUUAGCUAGUAGGUGGGGUAACGGCUCACCUAGGCGACGAUCCCUAGCUUGUCUGAGAGGAGAACCAGCCACACUGGAACUGAGACACGGUCCAGCGUCCUACGGGAGGCAGCAGUGGGGAAUAUUGCACAAUGGGCGCAAGCCUUAUGCAGCCAUGCCGCGGGUGUGAAGAAGGCCUUCGGGUUGUAAAGCACUUUCAGCGGGGAGGCGUUACCCGCAGAAGAAGCACCGGCUAACUCCGUGCCAGCAGCCGCGGUAAUAC
rnacentral:rRNA from 1 species